AGUAAAUAGAUACCCGGGUAGUCCACGCCGUAAACGAUGUCGACUUGGAGGUUGUGCCCUUGAGGCGUGGCUUCCGGAGCUAAACGCGUUAAAGUCGACCGCCUGGGGAGUACGGCCGCAAGGUUAAAACUCAAAUGAAUUGACGGGGGCCCGCACAAGCGGUGGAGCAUGUGGUUUAAUUCGAUGCAACGCGAAGAACCUUACCUACUCUUGACAUCCAGAGAACUUAGCAGAGAUGCUUUGGUGCCUUCGGGAACUCUGAGACAGGUGCUGCAUGGCUGUCGUCAGCUCGUGUUGUGAAAUGUUGGGUUAAGUCCCGCAACGAGCGCAACCCUUAUCCUUUGUUGCCAGCGGUCCGGCCGGGAACUCAAAGGAGACUGCCAGUGAUAAACUGGAGGAAGGUGGGGGAUGACGUCAAGUCAUCAUGGCCCUUACGAGUAGGGCUACACACGUGCUACAAUGGCGCAUACAAAGAGAAGCGACCUCGCGAGAGCAAGCGGACCUCAUAAAGUGCGUCGUAGUCCGG
rnacentral:rRNA from 1 species